UGCGGAGGGUGCGAGCGUUAUCCGGAAUUACUGGGUUUAAAGGGUGCGUAGGCGGCUAUGUAAGUCAGGAGUGAAAGUUUGCGGCUCAACCGUAAAAUUGCUUUUGAUACUGCAUGGCUAGAAUUAGGAUGAGGUCAGCGGAAUGUGGCAUGUAGCGGUGAAAUGCAUAGAUAUGCCAUAGAACACCAAUUGCGAAGGCAGCUGGCUAGACCUGGAUUGACGCUGAGGCACGAAAGCGUGGGGAGCGAACAGG
rnacentral:rRNA from 1 species